UUGGCUUAGGUUCAAACAUAUGGGAUCAUACGCAUUAGAAGACUUGGUCAGAUCUGAUAGCUGAAAAAGUUCAAUUGGAUUAUGACUCUGGUGAAGAGUCCUACUUGGACUCGGACUCUAUAAGAGAGUCCCACUGGGACUAAGACUCUACCAUUCAUAGAGAAUUAAUUAGUAAUUAGAUUACUAAUUGACUCAAUUUG
rnacentral:lncRNA from 1 species